AUGGAGAGUCUUCCGAGAGUAAAGCCAUCUAAACUUGGUCUUCUUGUCCUUAUUGGAUUAAGUUUGUUUUACAGAUGGCCACUGUGUGUAAGUCUGGAUGAUGCAGAUCAAAAGCUUCCUCUGGAACUCAUGCAAUGCAGCAAGCCAAUUCACAACAUCACAGUGCAGUGAAAGUUUACAUGGCAGGACUUCAUCCUCAUGAUACAUGUCUUGUAUCCCCAUCCUGCUCCUAACAGGUCACCCUUUGAUCUGUUCAUUAUUCUAUUCCACGUUGAAAGGUUUUAGCUUUCCUAUACAGAAGCUGAUGAAACAAGGGGUUUUAUUGUCUCAGCCUGUUUGAUUUCCAGACUUUCACAAAGAGGAUCAAGGAAGCAGACCAGAUGCUCAUUAGGAUAUGAUGGCUUCAGUAUCUCUUUGGUUCCAAUAUAACUCUCUUCUGGGGGGUGGGUAUUCAAGCUUUAUUAGUGGCUGUUCACUUCAUAGCUUUUACUAUAUUGCCUUCUGAUUUUCUCUGUGAUCAUGGAGUGUUGCAAGAUAUACUUUCUCCAGGGCCAUUGUGUCAUAUGUAUGUCACAUGUUUAAUGUUAGUGCUAGGGAAGAAAGCAUGGACAGAAAUUUAUACUAUUCAGAUCCUAGCUUCAGUUGCACCACUCUGUGGUAGAGAACCUUUUUCUGUUACAAUUUAUUUUUAAGUAAAGGGUUAAGUGAUUUAUUAAGUGAUUUAUCUCCAAAUCAUUCAGUAUCUUUCUUAUCUCCUGAGGAGAUAUAACUGUAGUUAGAAUUAGUAAGAAGGUUAUUUUUUUUCACCUUUGGAAAAAGUAAAAUGAGAUAGAGCAAAUUUCCUGUAAAAAUCCAGAAAAAUAGAUUUUUUUUCUUUCUUUCUGUAAUUUGCCAGUUAAAAUGCAAUUGCUUGCUUCUUCUCUCUCUCACUGACUUCAAAUAAGUUGUUGUAUUAUAACCUGCCAGGUGGCUGUGCCACACACAGACAUUUGCUUACUACUUACCUUCCCAGUGGGAUGUGGGAGAGAAUUAAAAACAAAACAAAACAAAAAACCAACAACAAAAUCAAACUAGAGAGUUGAGGUAUAGCUAUUUACUAAGAUAGAUAAAAGGAAAACAAUAAUAGUUAUGACAAUACACAUAAGCGUAUAUAUACACAUGAAUCUAUGUAGCAAGUGAUGCACAAACAAUUGCUCAUUACUCACCAACUGAUGCCCAGCUAGUGGAAGCCCAUCCAGCAGUGGAAGAGAAAAAGUUGAACUCUCAUUCCUUUCAAAACUCCUUUUUCAUGAUGUUAUAUGGUAUAGAAUAUACCUUUGGCCAGUUUAAGACAGCUCUCCUAAUUCUUUUCCCUCCCAGCUCCUUUGGCCCUUCACUGAGAAUGGCCUUGACUCUGUACAGCACUGAUUAGCAGCAACUAUAAACAUCAAUGCGUUAUCAACAUCAUUUUUUCUCCUAGAACGAAAGCAUAGCAUCAUACCAGACACUCUGAAGAAAACAAUUCAAUUCCAGCUGAAAUUAAGACGUAAGUUUAGAAAACUUCAGAGGUUUUUGCCCAAACGUUUGUGACCUGAACAAUUUAGAAAGAAGCUGAUCUAUUUAAAAAUGAGUUUUCUGCUAAUUCUAUUUACAUAUAUAGAUUUGAGAUUUAUUGAGCU
rnacentral:lncRNA from 1 species